rnacentral:rRNA from 1 species
UACGUAGGGCGCGAGCGUUGUCCGGAAUUAUUGGGCGUAAAGAGCUCGUAGGCGGCCUGUUGCGUCCGCUGUGAAAGCCCGGGGCUUAACCCCGGGUCGGCAGUGGAUACGGGCAGGCUAGAGGUAGGUAGGGGAGAAUGGAAUUCCCGGUGUAGCGGUGAAAUGCGUAGAUAUCGGAAGGAACAUCAGUGGCGAAAGCGACUUCCUGGACCAGUACCGACGUUCAGGCACGAAAGCGUGGGGAGCAAACAGG